GGUGAGUAACACGUGGAUAACCUACCUAUAAGACUGGGAUAACUUCGGGAAACCGGAGCUAAUACCGGAUAAUAUUUUGAACCGCAUGGUUCAAAAGUGAGAGACGGUCUUGCUGUCACUUAUAGAUGGAUCCGCGCUGCAUUAGCUAGUUGGUAAGGUAACGGCUUACCAAGGCAACGAUGCAUAGCCGACCUGAGAGGGUGAUCGGCCACACUGGAACUGAGACACGGUCCAG
rnacentral:rRNA from 1 species